UUUGGUGGACUCCAGGUCCAUAACCUGGUA
rnacentral:sRNA from 1 species